GAUGAAGAACGCAGUGAAAUGCGAUAAGUAAUGUGAAUUGCAGAAUUCAGUGAAUCAUCGAAUCUUUGAACGCACAUUGCGCCCCUUGGUAUUCCGAGGGGCAUGCCUGUUCGAGCGUCAUUAUAACCCCUCAAGCUCAGCUUGGUGUUGGGGCCUGCUGCACUGGCAGCCCUUAAAAUCAGUGGCGGCGCCAUCUGGCUCUAGGCGUAGUAAUUCUUCUCGCUAUGGAGUCCUGGUGGAUGCUUGCCAUCAACCCCCAAUUUUUCUAUGGUUGACCUCGGAUCAGGUAGGGAUACCCGCUGAACUUAAGCAUAUCAAUAAGCGGAGGA
rnacentral:misc_RNA from 1 species